GAUGAACGCUAGCUACAGGCUUAACACAUGCAAGUCGCGGGGCAUCAUGGAGGUUGCUUGCAAUUUCUGAUGGCGACCGGCGCACGGGUGAGUAACGCGUAUCCAACCUUCCCAUUACUACGGCAUACCCCGUUGAAAGGCGGCCUAAUUCCGUAUGCAGUCCGAAGCAGUCAUCUAAUUUGGACGAAAGGUAUAUUCUAUCGGUAAUGGAUGGGGAUGCGUCCGAUUAGCCAGCCGGCGGGGUAACGGCCCACCGGGGCAUUGAUCGGUAGGGGUUCUGAGAGGAAGGUCCCCCACACUGGAACUGAGACACGGUCCAGACUCCUACGGGAGGCAGCAGUGAGGAAUAUUGGUCAAUGGGCGUAAGCCUGAACCAGCCAAGUAGCGUGCAGGAUGACGGCCCUAUGGGUUGUAAACUGCUUUUAUGCGGGGAUAAAGUUGGGGACGUGUCCC
rnacentral:rRNA from 1 species